GACGAACGCUGGCGGCGUGCUUAACACAUGCAAGUCGAACGGAAAGGCCCUGCUCUUGUGGGGUGCUCGAGUGGCGAACGGGUGAGUAACACGUGAGUAACCUGCCCUUGACUUUGGGAUAACUUCAGGAAACUGGGGCUAAUACCGGAUAGGAGCUCCUGCUGCACGGUGGGGGUUGGAAAGUUUCGGCGGUUGGGGAUGGACUCGCGGCUUAUCAGCUUGUUGGUGGGGUAGUGGCUUACCAAGGCUUCGACGGGUAGCCGGCCUGAGAGGGUGACCGGCCACAUUGGGACUGAGAUACGGCCCAGACUCCUACGGGAGGCAGCAGUGGGGAAUAUUGCAGAAUGGGCGGAAGCCUGAUGCAGCAACGCCGCGUGCGGGAUGACGGCCUUCGGGUGGUAAACCGCUUUCGCCUGUGACGAAGCGUGAGUGACGGUAAUGGGUAAAGAAGCACCGGCUAACUACGUG
rnacentral:rRNA from 1 species